rnacentral:rRNA from 1 species
AUUGAACGCUGGCGGCAGGCCUAACACAUGCAAGUCGAGCGAGAGGCGGACGGGUGAGUAAUGUGUGUGGACUGCCCGAUAGAGGGGGAUUACUACUGGAAAAGGUGGCUUAUACCGCAUCCUUUCGGGUAACCCAUAUGGGAGUGGCCAGCAGGUAAGGUAAUGGCUUACCUAGGCGACGAUCCCUAGCUGGUCUGAGAGGAUGAUCAGCCACACUGGGACGGGGACACGGCCCAGAGUCCUACGGAGGCAGCAGUGGGGAAUAGUGCACAAUGGGCGAAAGCCUGAUGCAGCCAUGCCGCGUGUAUGAAGAAGGCCCUAGGGUUGUAAAGUACUUUCAGUCGGGAGGCGUUACCGACAGAAGAAGCACCGGCUAACUCCGUGCCAGCCGCCGCGGUAAUAC